CGGACUGGUGAGUAAUGUCUGGGAAACUGCCCGAUGGGGGGGGAUAACUACUGGAAACGGUAGCUAAUACCGCAUAACGUCGCAAGACCAAAGAGGGGGACCUUCGGGCCUCUUGCCAUCGGAUGUGCCCAGAUGGGAUUAGCUAGUAGGUGGGGUAACGGCUCACCUAGGCGACGAUCCCUAGCUGGUCUGAGAGGAUGACCAGCCACACUGGAACUGAGACACGGUCCAG
rnacentral:rRNA from 1 species